rnacentral:misc_RNA from 1 species
AAAAGUAUAAACUACUUUACACUCUCGUGAACUUGUUUUUAUAACCAAAAAAUAUCGUAGUGUGUCAUGGAACUCGUUUCAUGCGCAAUGCGUUUAUUUUUUAUUAUUACACUAUUUACCCUUUGUAUUAACUUGAAUCUAUUUGGCUAUGCGGGAAACUGCAUAACUAAAAAAAUAUAAGAAAUUUUCGUG